CCCCAGCCGUGCAGGGGAGGACCUGCUGCCCCCACCCCCUCCAGCUGACUCUCAGCACAGUCUGCAGUUCUGCCAGACCUCGAGGGGACAAAUAGCAUCUCACCUUGGAAAUAGAGGUUGUUUUGGGAACCUGCACCCAGA